rnacentral:misc_RNA from 1 species
UCCUUCGACUUUGCACCAGAAGAUAAAGUACAUUAUGGACGGCAAAAUCAUCACUGUGAGAGGGAAAGAAGCCAUAUUGGUCACCAAGCCACAAUCACUUCCUUAUGUGGAAGCUGCUGAGGAGUCGUUGGAAAGCUCUUUCCAGGCCCUCGAAUUACAAGAAACCAGAAAUGAAGGGGCUAUGGCUAUGGUAGCCAAGAUAAUGUCAAGGAAUGG